rnacentral:rRNA from 1 species
GACGAACGCUGGCGGCGUGCCUAAUACAUGCAAGUAGAACGCUGAAGCAGGAGCUUGCUUCUCUGGAUGAGUUGCGAACGGGUGAGUAACGCGUAGGUAACCUGCCUGGUAGCGGGGGAGAACUAUUGGAAACGAUAGCUAAUACCGCAUAAGAGUAGAUGUUGCAUGACAUUUGCUUAAAAGUUGCAAUUGCAUCACUACCAGAUGCACCUGCCUUGUAUUAGCUAGUUGGUGAGGUAACGGCUCACCAAGGCAACGAUACAUAGCCGACCUGAGAGGGUGGUCGGCCACCCUGGGACUGAGACACGGCCCAGACUCCUACGGGAGGCAGCAGUAGGGAAUCUUCGGCAAUGGGCGGAAGUCUGACCGAGCAACGCCGCGGGAGUGAAGAAGGGUUUCGGAUCGUAAAGCUCUGUUGUAAGGGAAGAAAGAGUGUGAGAGUGGAAAGUUCACACUGUGACGGUACCUUACGAGAAAGGGACGGCUAACUACGUG